UGCCCCAGUAACGGCGAGUGAAGCGGCAACAGCUCAAAUUUGAAAUCUGGCUCUCGGGCCCGAGUUGUAAUUUGUAGAGGAUGCUUUUGGUGAGGUGCCUUCCGAGUUCCCUGGAACGGGACGCCAUAGAGGGUGAGAGCCCCGUCUGGUUGGACACCGAUCCUCUGUAAAGCUCCUUCGACGAGUCGAGUAGUUUGGGAAUGCUGCUCUAAAUGGGAGGUAUAUGUCUUCUAAAGCUAAAUACCGGCCAGAGACCGAUAGCGCACAAGUAGAGUGAUCGAAAGAUGAAAAGAACUUUGAAAAGAGAGUUAAACAGUACGUGAAAUUGUUGAAAGGGAAGCGCUUGUGACCAGACUUGGGCUUGGUUGAUCAUCCGGGGUUCUCCCCGGUGCACUCUUCCGGCUCAGGCCAGCAUCAGUUCGCCCUGGGGGACAAAGGCUUCGGGAAUGUGGCUCUCUCCGGGGAGUGUUAUAGCCCGUUGCGUAAUACCCUGUGGCGGACUGAGGUUCGCGCAUUCGCAAGGAUGCUGGCGUAAUGGUCAUCAGUGACCCGUCUUGAAACACGGACCAAGGAGUCGUCUUCGUAUGCGAGUGUUCGGGUGUCAAACCCCUACGCGAAAUGAAAGUGAACGCAGGUGAGAGCUUCGGCGCAUCAUCGACCGAUCCUGAUGUUAUCGGAUGGAUUUGAGUAAGAGCAUACGGGGCCGGACCCGAAAGAAGGUGAACUAUGCCUGUGUAGGGUGAAGCCAGAGGAAACUCUGGUGGAGGCUCGCAGCGGUUCUGACGUGCAAAUCGAUCGUCAAACAUGGGCAUG
rnacentral:rRNA from 1 species